rnacentral:lncRNA from 1 species
CACGCAUCUGUCUUCAAAUUCCAAAUAUAUGCCUCCAACAACAUUUAUUAUUGUGAGGGGGCUUCUGUAACCCUACUGCUCAGCUCUUGAAUGGCCCAGCUAUGCAUAUCAUAGUUGCAUUUGUUUAUCACAGGGCAUCUGAAAAAACAAAGGAAAUAAGUCCUUGGCAAUCAGUGGGACAGAUGGGAACCAGCACCAAACAGGAGGAAGAGUCUGUGCUUCAGAUCAGGUCGGAAAAGGUUGCAGCAUAUGAACAAACUGCUCAAAUUGAUCAAACAGUCAGUGUAAACCAAAAGAAAUGUGGUAUUUCAAAAUCUGAGAAAAAAGACAUCCGCUUCCUGGAGCUGCUAAUAACACCACAACAAAAGGAGCUGAAAGCAGUGGAAGGUAAGAAAUUCAAAUUGGCUUUGCAGGUGCACAAAUCAGAAGCUAGUUCUAGCAGAGAAGUAUUAAUCUGAACUAAUACCUAAAUUACCAAUAAGUAGCUUUGGUGGAAAAUUCUUAGGAAAAAAAAUGCAUCAGAUUAGACAGGAUAAAAACCACUCAUGCAUUUUUAGGCUUCAGGAAUAUUUCUUGUAUGCACAUGAAAGUCAGGAUGAAAUUUGAAAAAUUAUUAUUUUUUAACUGAAAAAUCUCUAAAAUAGUUCAGUACUGUUUCCAAAUCAAUCCAUUUAGGCACAGAAUUUGAAGGUAAGUGGAGAAUAUAGGAAAAAAGACAAAGUCUAGAAAUAAUUAUGUAUCUCUUUGUGAAAGCUAAACAGGUAAAAAUGCUGAAGAGGGAAACAAUUCUGAAGUAUCUAAAAUACCUUCUUUACUCAAUGUUGAUCAAUGUCAAGAAAAAUGAGGUAAAUGAAUACAUUAGUGAAAAAUAUAUGAUGGUUUAUACAAUUGUUAGAAGAUGUAACAUUCAAACACCUAACUUUCUUUUCUCAAAUUCAUUUUCAGACUGUGGAAAAAACACAAAAUAAACUCAAGCAGUCUUUCCUGGAAUAAGCA